UGAACAUCGAAGAUACUUUCCUACUUUGUAGAAAACUACAGAACCAUCUGAGAAUGCUUGGAUGUCCCUUUUGGGAAAGUGCCCUCUGAGACCUUUCCUAAGGAUAUUUCAGGUGCAGGAUUCCUCUGGACCUGUAAGAAGCUGACGGGCAUUGUGGCCACCGUACGAUGGCGUAGGGGACCUGGCAUUUCCCAGACUCUUUCCCUUCCGACCAGCUGGAAGCUGGAGCUGGGAGCAGCAGUGACCUAGCUUCAACCAUGCAGGUGAUGACGGAGUUACAGGAAGGGAGGAGCUGUGCUCCCUGAAAGACCUGUGGAACAGCGCUGGCCCUCCUGUCUGGGAUGCUUGCACUGGGGCUAAGUGACAAAGACAUAAAGGUAGAUAUUCUUGAAAGCCCUGAAGCUUUGUGUCUCUUUCUUACAGGGCUUGGUCUUACCAUAACCAACAACAGGGGAAUAGUAAUGGCAGUUUAGGACAUUGGAUCACAUGGUGCACAAAAGAGCUUCAACAGCAUCUUUAACAUGGUUUCUUUAAAAAACGCAGAUGGGAAUAUGUCAGUUUUAAAAUGCCGUGUUGUAGAUACACUGAUAUUUGUCAUAUAAUUUUCUAUUCUUGUCUGCAGGUUUGAAGUACGUAAUAAUAAAACUGAAAGUGAUCAAGAGAAUUUGUUGGCUACAGAUAUAUUCUGACUUCAGGAUAAUUUCAGUUCCACUGUUUGGUAAUAUCACCAGGAAUUGUUUUAUCUUAGACUUUGGGCUGCCUUGCUCUCGUAUUUUGACUGCUUCUUAAAAUGCCCCUCCACGUCCCAAGAUAACUACCAGCACCUUCUGGAAUUCAUGCAGCCUCAUUCAUUAUAAACAGAAAAGACUAUCUUUGUCCCCAAGUAGGGAAAACAUUGCUUCACCAAACAUAUGUUAAGAUCUUAUUCUUUGCCAAGUACUAGUGACGCAGAAAUGAGUCAGACGUGAUUGCUUAAAUGGGAAAGCUCGGAGUCAUCAUCUGGACAUCCACAAUAUUCCUAUUUCCUUCUGCGUAAAGAUUGUUUUUAAAAAUGCUCGUAUUCUGCGAUUUAUGAAGUGUGUUGAUGAGGUAUGUUUAUGAGGUGUGUUGAGUAACUGAUGUAGAACCGGCCCCCGUCCUUCCUUACCUGGGCUCCUACGUCCACGAACAUGAGAUGUCACACUUUUCUUUAGUCAUUCUCCCUGCUUUGAAAACCCUUUCCUUCCUUCUCCACCAGGCCGAGUUUUAACGUUUCUUCAAAGCCCUCCAGGGCAUCUUUCUAGGGCGUAUCAAGAAAUGAGAUCCGCGGGCAAGUAAGUGACUGGGACGACUUCUCCCCGGCUAUGGGGUCAUUGCUUAAGAGCUAGACUUGCUGGAUGUCACCUCCACAAGUUCGUCCCCUCCUUUGUGUCCCCGUAGCACUUGGUUUACAUGGUCAGUAUGACACUCAGAUGUACAUACACGACUAACUACAACACGGUGCGGCUACUCUCCCACUUGACUUGUUUCUGAGGAUAAGGACACUCGAUUAUUCACCUUUGAGGUUCAGUCUUCUGGAUCAUACUGGACGUGUGUGGGACAGAAUGCUGACUGCAUAACCAGUGUCAAUGGCCCCUUCUUCUUAAGAACAGACCCACGUUGGGUAUGUCAUUAUGCUUAGUUUAAAAACCAUGUCUCCCAUUCUCCCUUCCACAUAAAAGUGAUGAAUGUGCAAGUGGAGGGUUUUGGACAGGACUUCCAGGACAAUUCUUUAAAAGGGGCUUACUCAACUGAGAGCCGAUCCUCCUUCUCCCAUUCCUUUGUCUUUCUGUUCAGAAUUCAAACGUGAUGGUUGACGUGCUAGCAGCCAUCUUGUGACCAUGAGUCAACCUUGAAGAUGUAAGCCCUGUGCCAAGGUUGGUGAGCAGGAACAAGAAAGUGCAGGAAGACGGGUCAGUCAUGUAGCUCCGACUGUACUGCUGGGCCAUCUACCCCUGGACAUUUUUAAUAGAAAAAGAACAAAGAGGAAGAGGAGUGGAAAGGGAAGGGAAAGACGAGGUGAAGGUGAAAAGAGAAGGAGAAAGGAGGAGGAAAGGAGGCAAUCACCGGAAGGUCAUCAGCCAGGUGGAGAGAGACGCUUAACCAGGUCCCGGAAGAGCUCCAGAGGCUCCUGUGAUGGUUCUGUCCAGGGGAGGAAAAAACACAGGGAACAUGAGCAGCCAUCCCCAAACAGGUGGAGCCCUCUGAGAUGACCAGAGGUGUUUCCACAGGUGUUUAUUGAAUGACUAAUAUGUGCCAAGCACUAACCCAGGUGGUGGAACACAUCAGUGGACCAACUUGAGCCGCUCUGUCUGUGUCUAGCUUAGGGCCCCAGGGACAGACUGACAAUAAUAUCACCAACAGGUAAAUUUGUGAUGUCCAGUGGGGUUAAACUUAUUCCCUAAGAAUCUGAGAUCAUGUCGAUGGUAACUAAACAGAAUCUAAGGAGAACGAUUCCUCAGCUGCUGCGUUUCAGUCUGAACUGCCUGAUAAUGCAGUGUAAGACUGGAGAGUCCUCUGUGCUGAAACAUGCACAUUGAGGCAAAACCAGGCGAGUUGUAGACAGAUGAAAGUGUUGGAUGCAGGGAUGGGGCCAGACAAUCUCGUCAAGCCUGCCAACCUUGAGACUCCAUCACCUCUUAUUUUCUACCUCCUCUUUUGCAAUAUCCUCUUUCUUUGCAGAACUCUCUAGAAGCAAUAAGAGUUGACUCCAUGGUGUAAGAGACUGAGUGAUAAGGAAAAGAUUUUCCACAUAGCCUUGUGAUGGAGUAACCAAAAUGACCUCUAAGGUUUGCCAGAAAAAAGCUAGACCUGCGAAGAAAGGAACGCAUUUUGGGCGGCUCCCCCGUGCUCCUCGGGGCCACAAGUACUCGAGGAAGUGACUGUUCCCUGGGUGGUGGCCAGACGCUCGGCUCCCAGGAGUCCGGCCGCCCUGAGGGCGGGGCCGGGAGGUGGAUGGACCGGAAGACCGCGCGUCUAGGGAGACUGAGUCACGUCCGGGUCAGAGCACGCGGCUUGACAGCCGGGGGAACGAAAUGCUGGUCUGGGGCGGAAUUUGAACUUUAGGUGGUUAAUUUCUACAGGCAAGAUCUCUGCUCCAUCUCGCGUCCUAAGAAAGGAGGGGUGUGUUUCUAAGCACAUACAGGCGCUCACACACUUUGCUGAUGUAUAUUCUCUACGUGCCUAAGCAUUGUAAUUUAGAUUUUGAUCUAGAAAAUUAAAAAUAAACGUCUAAGAGUUCCAUGCCAAAA
rnacentral:lncRNA from 1 species